AAAUAUUCAUUUUCCUUUAAAAUUAGAGAUAGAUCCUAGUCGGUUAGGGAAUUGGUUGUAACAGGCUAUAAAUAGCCAUCUUUAGAGAUCUGUAUUCAACACAUCAAUCAAUAUAACAAUCUACUAUUUCCUCGUAUUUUACUUUCAAGUCGGCGACUUCGCCAAUACUUUUCUUCUUUCACGAGUUCGUAUGGGUUGGCAGGCUG
rnacentral:lncRNA from 1 species